rnacentral:misc_RNA from 1 species
GUGGGCUCUUUGAAACAUAGAGUUCUUCUGUAACUCCCCACGUUAAACCCUAAUUCCACUACAAUAUACGGUCUUUCGUGCAUAACUCUAUCGAAUUUUUCUGUAUCUCUUUAAGCUCAUGGGUUGCUCAUCUUCUCUUCCAGAUAGGAGUUCUGGGCGGUUGAGUGGACUUAACAAUCCUGAGAGCAAUGGAGUGCCUGAUGCCAAA